UAGGAAGCCCAGUUCAGGGGACCCACCCAGCUCCACACAAUGAAAAUAAAGUUGUCAAGCCUUUGAGGUGGCUGUGAAGAUUUAUUCUUCCUGGGCAAAUUGCCUGCAGGGUAAUGGCAGUUUUGCUGGAUCCUGGGGGCUUCACCAUCCCUAAUUGGUUCCCUGAACUCUGACCAGUUUUAGCUGGUGUUUUAACAAGAAUACCUGGAAACUCUUGAGACUGGU